rnacentral:rRNA from 1 species
AGAUUGAACGCUGGCGGCAGGCCUAACACAUGCAAGUCGAGCGGUAGAGAGGUGCUUGCACCUCUUGAGAGCGGCGGACGGGUGAGUAAUGCCUAGGAAUCUGCCUAGUGGUGGGGGAUAACGUUCGGAAACGGACGCUAAUACCGCAUACGUCCUACGGGAGAAAGCGGGGGACCUUCGGGCCUCGCGCCAUUAGAUGAGCCUAGGUCGGAUUAGCUAGUUGGUGAGGUAAUGGCUCACCAAGGCGACGAUCCGUAACUGGUCUGAGAGGAGGAUCAGUCACACUGGAACUGAGACACGGUCCAGACUCCUACGGGAGGCAGCAGUGGGGAAUAUUGGACAAGUGGGCGAAAGCCUGAUCCAGCCAUGCCGCGUGUGUGAAGAAGGUCUUCGGAUUGUAAAGCAACUUUAAGUUGGGAGGUAAGGGUUAGUAACUUAAGUACGUUAGCUAACUUUGACGUUUAACCGACUAAGAAUUAAGACGACCGGACUUAACGUUCGU